rnacentral:rRNA from 1 species
GUUUGUUACGUCGGAUGUGAAAACCUGAGGCUCAACCUCAGGCCUGCAUUCGAUACGGGCAAACUAGAGUUUGGUAGGGGAGACUGGAAUUCCUGGUGUAGCGGUGGAAUGCGCAGAUAUCAGGAGGAACACCAAUGGCGAAGGCAGGUCUCUGGGCCAAUACUGACACUGAGGAGCGAAAGUCUGGGGAGCGAACAGGAUUAGAUACCCUGGUAGUCCAGACCGUAAACGGUGGGCACUAGUUGUGGGAACCUUCCACGGUUUCUGCGACGCAGCUAACGCAUUAAGUGCCCCGCCUGGGGAGUACGAUCGCAAGAUUAAAACUCAAAGGAAUUGACGGGGCCCCGCACAAGCAGCGGAGCAUGCGGCUUAAUUCGACGCAACGCGAAGAACCUUACCAAGGCUUGACAUAUAGGGAAAAGUGGCAGAGAUGUCAUGUCCGCAAGGGCUCUAUACAGGUGGUGCAUGGUUGUCGUCAGCUCGUGUCGUGAGAUGUUGGGUUAAGUCCCGCAACGAGCGCAACCCUCGUUCUGUGUUGCCAGCAUUUAGUUGGGGACUCACAGGAGACUGCCGGGGUUAACUCGGAGGAAGGUGGGGAUGACGUCAAAUCAUCAUGCCCCUUAUGUCUUGGGCUGCACGCAUGCUACAAUGGCCGGUACAGAGGGCUGCAAUACCGUAAGGUGGAGCGAAUCCCAAAAAGCCGGUCUCAGUUCGGAUUGAGGUCUGCAACUCGACCUCAUGAAGUUGGAGUUGCUAGUAAUCGUAGA